CCUACGGGUGACAGCAGUGAGGAAUAUUGGUCAAUGGGCGCGAGCCUGAACCACCCAAGUCGCGUGAGGGAAGACGGUCCUAUGGAUUGUAAACCUCUUUUGUCGGGGAGCAAAAGACGCCACGCGUGGCGUUCCGAGAGUACCCGAAGAAAAAGCAUCGGCAAACUCCGUGCCAGCAGCCGCGGUAAUCCGGAGGAUGCGAGCGUUAUCCGGAUUUCUUGGGGUUAACGGGUGCGCAGGCGGAAGAUCAAGUCAGCGGUAAACUUGAGAGGCUCAACCUCUUCGAGCCGUUGAAACUGGUUUUCUUGAGUGAGCGAGAAGUAAGCGGAAUGCGUGGUGUAGCGGUGAAAUGCAUAGAUAUCACGAAGAACUCCGAUUGCGAAGGCAGCAUACCGGCGCUCAACUGACGCUCAUGCACGAAAGUGUGGGUAUCGAACAGGAUUAGAUACCCCAGUAGUC
rnacentral:rRNA from 1 species